ACAGCAGAACAACAAAAUAUAGCCCUACUUUUAAAAAACUAGAUCCUACUUCCCAAUUAUUAUCUGUUCCCAAUAGCCCAUCAAAUUAUGAACCUGUGAAUGGAUUAAUCCGUUACUUAGUUCAGAACUGUUGUGAUUCCAUCAUGUCUAAAGUGCCUUCUUGUUGCUCCUACUAUGGGUUUUGACAAGUAUAUACUGUCCUGUAUCUACCCUUACAGUGUUGUAGAGAACAGCUUAACUACCCUGCAAAUCCCUUGUACUCUGUCUUCUACUCCUCCCCUGUCUACCCAAAGAACUGUUUAUACCUUUACUGCCUCUGCUGUCAUCCCAGGCAGCUGGUGCUUCCUCAGACUGGCUCCUCUCAAUUAGCAAGAUACAUUUUAAAACUCUACAUGUCUUUUCAUGUGUGAAUAGCUCACUCCUUUGUCAUUGAGUAGUGCUGUACUCCACAGUAAGGAGCAAUCAGUCUUUUAUUCAUCAAUUAAAUGACACUUAAGUGGUUUUCAAGUUUGGCAGUUGUGGGCAAAGCUUAUAGUGUUAGUGUACAGGGCUUGUGUGGACAUAGGGUUUCAGUUCAUUUAGUUAAAUGCCCAGGAUUAUAUAGUAAGAAUAUCUUCAGCUUCAAAAAACACUGCUGAAGUGCCUUCCAUGGUGACUGAAAGCAUUGGGUAAGAGAGAGAGUUCACUUUGCCCAGUGUCUUGGUCUGCCUUUGUUAUCAUCAAUUCAUGUUUGUUUGUUUGUUUUUCCCUAAAAGACAUGUGGAGUUUCCUAGUUACAUAUGUUGUAGGGCAGCUCUUCACAUACUCAUUAUUUGUAUGUCUUUGAUAAGUCGUCUGUUCAGAUAUUUUGUUCAUUUUAAAAUUGGGAUAGUGCCAGAGAAAUGACAUGGCUAGUAAAAGCCGUAAAACCACAACUCUUACCUCAAAGGAGCUCAAGAGAUGAUUGAGUCUAGAGCUAAACAGCAGUGACCAUGGCACAAGAACACAAAUUUUGGUUCUAACAUGGUAGCAGUUUUAUGACGUUUUUAUCAUAACAAACAAAGCACUUUUCAAUGGCCACAGUGGAAACGUUAGAUAGUCAGCUUCUGGAAGCUCAGGGAAGUCCCAGCUAUAGAUCUCAGACACUAGCAGAAUAUAUUCUUAGCCUCUGCUUGCUGGAAGCAAGAGAACUGUUGGCACAUUUCAAAGGAUUUACCUAAUAGUCACAAAGAUGUUAGGGCACAACUAGAGACGGGCAAUGGAUGGCUAUUCAGAGCACAGAAGACUCACCGAAGGUGAUUUGGUUCUGGAUUUGCAACAUUCCACACCUCACGUAGUUUUUGAAGUCUCAAUCAGUUAAUCAGCCUUGCAGAAGACUCUGUAGUGUUCUUUCCAGGAACCACAGCCUAACAACCUAAGUCCAUUGCAUGCCUGGGGCCCAUAGCAAAUGGAGAAAGCCAAGUCCUGAAGGUUGUUCUCUGAUUCACACACACACACACACACACACACACACACACACACACCACAUUUGAAAAUGAAAUUGUUUUCUUUUGUUGAGUUUUAAGAUUUCUUCAUGUACUUUAGAUAACCCAUUAUCAGAUGCGUAAUGUAGCUUGUCUUUGAUUCUUUUAGCAUUGUGUGGGUUUUAGAUACUAACAAUGUCCCGCUCUCACUUCCUUAAUGGAGUGUGUUUUUUUAUUCAAUUGAAAAGCUCAUCACCAAAUCCAAGAUCA
rnacentral:lncRNA from 1 species